AUUGAACGCUGGCGGCAUGCCUUACACAUGCAAGUCGAACGGUAACAGGUCUUCGGAUGCUGACGAGUGGCGAACGGGUGAGUAAUACAUCGGAACGUGCCUAGUAGUGGGGGAUAACUACUCGAAAGAGUGGCUAAUACCGCAUGAGAUCUACGGAUGAAAGCAGGGGAUCGCAAGACCUUGUGCUACUAGAGCGGCCGAUGGCAGAUUAGGUAGUUGGUGGGAUAAAAGCUUACCAAGCCGACGAUCUGUAGCUGGUCAGAGAGGACGAUCAGCCACACUGGGGCUGAGACAGGGCCCAGGCUCCGACGGGAGGCACCAGUGGGGAAUUUUGGACAAUGGGCGCAAGCCUGUUCCAGCAAUGCCGCGUGCAGGAUGAAGGCCUUCGGGUUGUAAACUGCUUUCGUACGGAACGAAAAGCCCCGGGUUAAUACCCUGGGGUCAUGACGGUACCGUAAGAAUAAGCACCGGCUAACUACGUGCCAGCCGCCGCCGUAA
rnacentral:rRNA from 1 species